UCGGGAAUUUUGGGCAAUGGGCGAAAGCCUGACCCAGCAACGCCGCGUGAGGGAUGAAGUAUUUCGGUAUGUAAACCUCGAAAGAAUGGGAAGAAUAAAUGACGGUACCAUUUAUAAGCUCCGGCUAACUACGUGCCAGCAGCCGCGGUAAUACGUAGGGAGCAAGCGUUGUUCGGAUUUACUGGGCGUACAGGGCGCGUAGGCGGCGCGGUAAGUCACUUGUGAAAUCUCUGAGCUUAACUCAGAACGGCCAAGUGAUACUGCUGUGCUAGAGUGCGGAAGAGGCGACCGGAAUUCUUGGUGUAGCGGUGAAAUGCGUAGAUAUCAAGAGGAACACCUGAGGCGAAGGCGGGUUGCUGGGCCGACACUGACGCUGAUGCGCGAAAGCCAGGGGAGCAAACG
rnacentral:rRNA from 1 species